AUCUACAGCCAUGCCACCCUGAACGUGCCUGAUCUCAUCUGAUCUCGGAAGCUAAGCAGGGUUGAACCUGCUUAGUACUUGAAUGGGAGACCACCUAGGAAUACCGGGUGCUGUAGGAG
rnacentral:rRNA from 1 species